GUGAAGAUGAGAGUAUCACUUGCUGGAGAUCCUUACCUAUCUGAGGUCUUCUAAAGGCCUCUCUGUCUGUGUCAGUUGACUUCCAGCACAGCAAAGCCACUUUGCGAUGGAUCCACUGAAACUGCUGCUUCUUGUGGAGCUAAAGAAUGGGACUGCUCUGAAGCACAAGCACAUCAGAGCCAUGGUUCUAAGAUCUUAGGAGGUACCUGAAAUCUUCUGACCUUCAAUGGUGAGAGAUUCUGCACAACAUUCCUACAAGCCAGCAAGAAGUAAGUGCUUUGCAAGUGGAGAAAAUCACUCACUCCGUGGUCAGGAACAGUCCAACAACACAGCUCCACUUGGCCAAGCAGCAUGGACCGAAUUUGGCUAAGAUACGUGACAACUGUAACUGGAACCCUCUCAGCCGAAGGACUUUGUAUCCUCAGGUGGAGAUCUCAGGCUUGGCUGGAGGGCUGGCAACAUGGUUUGGGAAGAUGCUGGAGUCACUCCAUUCCUGCAUCCGACAGCGGUCCCAAACUGGUCCACAGCCUGUCUGGCCCCUCUGUUUCCUCUGGGGAUCUGUCCCCUCAUGGAAUUGGACCACGAGGAUGAGAUGUGGAUCCCAACAUGGAAAAAGAAGAGGAAUUGGGCCUGCAUUUUCAAAGUGCUGAAUUAUGUGGCUAAGUGCAUCUGUAAUUUACAUGAGCAGUUACUGUGACAACUAAUAGAGAACGUCAUAAGCAGUCGGUUGAGCAUGUAAUGACCUGAGUUAUGUGCACCAUCGUGUCUCCUUGGCACAUCAAAUUAGGUGUGCACAUUUCUCAUGCCCUGAAGGACUCCUGCCUCAGCACAGAGCCCUGAUUUCCCAGCACAAACCCAAUCCCAGCAGCCCACCCCAGCCCAGCACAGUUUAUACCAUGCAAAGUGCUGGCACAAGCUCUGUGGCCCAGGUUGGAAUGGAUCCUCAGACAGCUAAUUAAUUUUUACUGCUCCUUUGUGAACUGUAAAUUACCCUUCCUUUCCUAGAUUUCUGUUCCAUUUUUCCCUGCCUUUCUCUAGCGAAGCACUAAAAAGGGAAAAAUGCCAAUAAUGGGCUGUCGUUGUGAUAAAAGCAGCCACGACUCACUCACGCUUUGAACAGUGCUCUGCUUAUGACCAGAAUACAAAAGCAAUUGGGUUUCAAGAAACCGUCCAGAGAUAAUGACUUUUCCUGGAGAUGGGAGCA